rnacentral:tRNA from 1 species
GGAGACGUGGCAGAGCGGCCGAAUGCACUCGCCUUGAAAGCGAGAGAGGGUAACACCUCCGCGGGUUCGAAUCCCGCCGUUUCCG